CAGUCGCCGCGGUAAUACGAAGGGUGCAAGCGUUAAUCGGAAUUACUGGGCGUAAAGCGUGCGUAGGCGGUUUGUUAAGUCUGUUGUGAAAUCCCCGGGCUCAACCUGGGAAUGGCAAUGGAUACUGGCAAGCUAGAGUGUGUCAGAGGAUGGUGGAAUUCCCGGUGUAGCGGUGAAAUGCGUAGAGAUCGGGAGGAACAUCAGUGGCGAAGGCGGCCAUCUGGGACAACACUGACGCUGAGGCACGAAAGCGUGGGGAGCAAACAGGAUUAGAUACCCCCGUAGUCCCUGUCUCUUAUAC
rnacentral:rRNA from 1 species